rnacentral:rRNA from 1 species
AUACGGAGGAUCCGAGCGUUAUCCGGAUUUAUUGGGUUUAAAGGGUGCGCAGGCGGGAGAUUAAGUCGGCGGUGAAAUUUUGCAGCUCAACUGUAAAAGUGCCUUCGAAACUGGUUUCCUUGAGUGUAGGAGAAGUAGGCGGAAUUUGUGGUGUAGCGGGGAAAUGCAUAGAUAUCACGAGGAACUCCGAUUGCGCAGGCAGCUUACUAAACUACUACUGACGCUCAGGCACGAAGGCGUGGGGAUCAAACAGGAUUAGAUACCCUGGUAGUCCACGCAGUAAACGAUGAUUACUAGCUGUUUGCGAUACAAUGUAAGCGGCUGAGCGAAAGCGUUAAGUAAUCCACCUGGGGAGUACGUUCGCAAGAAUGAAACUCAAAUGAAUUGGCGGGG